GCUGUUUUGUUGUUCAAAAUGGGUUUACCAAAGUCUUCAGGUCAGAAAAAGUAGUGUAACAUAUAGAAAAGAUUUUAAAACAAUGUAUAAUAAAUAAAAA